rnacentral:rRNA from 1 species
UGGGGAAUAUUGCACAAUGGGCGCAAGCCUGAUGCAGCCAUGCCGCGUGUAUGAAGAAGGCCUUCGGGUUGUAAAGCACUUUCAGCGGGGAGGAAGGCGUUAAGGUUAAUAACCUUGGCGAUUGACGUUACCCGCAGAAGAAGCACCGGCUAACUCCGUGCCAGCAGCCGCGGUAAUACGGAGGGUGCAAGCGUUAAUCGGAAUUACUGGGCGUAAAGCGCACGCAGGCGGUUGAUUGAGUCAGAUGUGAAAUCCCCGGGCUUAACCCGGGAAUUGCAUCUGAUACUGGUCAGCUAGAGUCUUGUAGAGGGGGGUAGAAUUCCAUGUGUAGCGGUGAAAUGCGUAGAGAUGUGGAGGAAUACCGGUGGCGAAGGCGGCCCCCUGGACAAAGACUGACGCUCAGGUGCGAAAGCGUGGGGAGCAAACAGG